CGCCUGCCAUGUGGUGAUUUGUUCUCCGGAUUGCGGGCCACAGGAAAGAUACCGCUAAAGAGGUCAGGACGAGACGCAG
rnacentral:ncRNA from 2 species